rnacentral:sRNA from 1 species
AAUAAAAGUGACUUACUCUUGCAGCUGAGGUUUCACCAACUUCAGCUGAUUGUCUCUGUACCAAAAAAAAA